rnacentral:rRNA from 1 species
AGGACUAACGCUGGCGGCGUGCCUAACACAUGCAAGUCGAACGAGAGUAGCAAUACUCUAGUGGCAGACGGGUGAGUAACACGUGGUCAACCUACCUCUAUGUGGGGGAUAACUAGCCGAAAGGUUAGCUAAUACCGCAUACGAUCGUCGAGCGGCAUCGCUUGACGAUGAAAGGAGCAAUCCGCAGAGAGACGGGACCGCGUCCCAUUAGCUAGUUGGUGGGGUAAUGGCCUACCAAGGCGACGAUGGGUAGCUGGCUUGAGAGAGCGACCAGCCACACUGGGACUGAGACACGGCCCAGACUCCUACGGGAGGCAGCAGUGAGGAAUUUUCCGCAAUGGGCGAAAGCCUGACGGAGCGACGCCGCGUGUGGGAAGAAGGCCUUCGGGUCGUAAACCACUGUCGAAGGGGAGAUAUUGACGGUACCCUUGGAGGAAGCCCCGGCUAACUACGUGCCAGCAGCCGC